ACAUUAUGAUGAGAUUCCACUCUAUGGUCCAUGUUUCUGAAAUGACAAAGUAAUUUUGAAUGACUCUGAUCAU
ensembl:snoRNA SNORD18 Small nucleolar RNA SNORD18